GGGGAAGUCGCAGCUGUCGAUCCCGCGCCGUGAGGACAGGAGGUUGAACCUUAGUGUGUGACCAAAAGUGAUGGAAUGUGUGUAAUCUCUUGCUAUGAUCCUGUCAACCCACAGAAAAAGUCAUCAGAUGUCUAGGAAACCAAGAAGAGAGACCACUUGUGACUGAUGAAAGAUAUUUGUUACUGCAGAUGUUUCUUGUGAUUGAUAAGAUAAUAAACUAUAGAGAUGUUUUUA